AACGAACGCUGGCGGCAUGCCUAACACAUGCAAGUCGAACGAGAUCUUCGGGUCUAGUGGCGCACGGGUGCGUAACGCGUGGGAAUCUGCCCUUUGGUUCGGAAUAACAGUUGGAAACGACUGCUAAUACCGGAUGAUGACGAAAGUCCAAAGAUUUAUCGCCAGAGGAUGAGCCCGCGUAGGAUUAGCUAGGUGGUGUGGUAAAGGCGCACCAAGGCGACGAUCCUUAGCUGGUCUGAGAGGAUGAUCAGCCACACUGGGACUGAGACACGGCCCAGACUCCGACGGGAGGCAGCAGUGGGGAAUAUUGGACAAUGGGCGAAAGCCUGAUCCAGCAAUGCCGCGUGAGUGAUGAAGGCCUUAGGGUUGUAAAGCUCUUUUACCCGGGAUGAUAAUGACAGUACCGGGAGAAUAAGCUCCGGCUAACUCCGUGCCAGCCGCCGCGGUAA
rnacentral:rRNA from 1 species